rnacentral:misc_RNA from 1 species
GAUGUGUGAUUCAAAAGCUGGGGCAGAGCUUCUGGACAUUAUCCUCAUGAAGGUAAAUUAUUCUUAUUCCACUUUUAUUUUUCCUUUUAACUCUGCUGCAUGAGGAUAGUAUUGAUAAAUGCAUAAAACCAUAUGAUGUUCUUUUUGGAACAAUAUUUCCCAAUUAAAAUUUGUCUUCUCCAACACAUACUUUGUGGAUAUAAUUUGUUUUGCAGUUCAAUCAUGUUCUUGAUGGGCAUCCUUUUGAGUUGUACUUGUUAUUUUGUUAGCUUAUUUAGUGAGCAUUAUUUUUUUCCCCCUCAGAUAGGAUAGUGUAGGUUGUUGGUCAAUUUUGAUGUUUGUGCAAAAUUGAGAUUCUUAUUGAUUGGGGCCUUUCUACUAACAGGAUGGUCAUGGGACUGAACAAUCUGCAAACCAUGUAGCCUCGCCACUGCCUUUUUUUUGUGGGUCUCCUCCUACCCGGGCUGCUAACCCAGUAAUCCAAGAUGCCCGAUUUGGAGAU